GACAUGCACUGCCGCCAUUCCUCACCGAG
rnacentral:piRNA from 1 species